GUCCAGCCCCGGAGAGAGAACCUUCGGCCGCCUCGGCCGCCUGCUGGAGCCGCCGCCGCUCCCGGGUGCCCCAGCCGCCCGCAGCCCGCGCGCUCCUCCUCGCCAAGUGACUGCGAGCUCCGCGCCUCUCCGCACUAUAUCCAGGCGGCGGCGGCGGCGGCGGCGGCGGCGGCGGCGGCGGCGGCGGCAGCAGCAGCGGCCGCCGCGGCGGCAGCAGAGCCGGGCGGGAGGGAGGCGGGGGCGGGGGCGCGGGCGCGGGCGCGGGCGCGGGCGCGGGGAGGGGGGCGCGGCCGAGGCGUAUCCCUCCGCGCCGCGCGGCCCCGGGAUUCGUCCGCAGUCGAGCUCGCAGCCGCGGGUUCGGCCCCCGGGGCCUCCGAGGACGGAGGCGGCCCGGAGCCCUGCACGCCGCCGGCUAGUCCGCGGGAGCCGAUGCCGGGGCUGCGGGCGGCCGCCGGGCCCGCGCUCUACGCGCGUCCGCACUUAGCCGGAGCGGGGCGCCGGGGGGCGGGCGGGCUGUUCCGCGGCCCUCGCCCCCCCGAGGGGAGCCCGUCCCGCCCGGGCCUCGCCCCCCGCCGACCCAUGGGCCGGCUGCCCCUCCCCACGCCUUCCCCGGUGCCGCGGCGGACGGGAGGCAGCUGUGCUCUAGUGUCCACACUGCCCGUCUCCUCCGGCUGGAGAGGGGAGGCGGAGGGAUGUGGACGCUGCCUCCCGUCCACGCGGACCCGCCGCGUUAAGAGCAGGUUUGAGCCACAAGAUGGAAAGAUGAUGGAUACUGAACUCCCAAUGCCAGGGUUUGGGUGAUGUAUUUGUGACACAAAAGGCCCUCGGUGUUUAAAAGUAAGUAACCCUUAAG
rnacentral:lncRNA from 1 species